rnacentral:rRNA from 1 species
GGCGGACGGGUGAGUAACGCGUAGGAAUCUGCCUAGUAGUGGGGGACAACAUGUGGAAACGCAUGCUAAUACCGCAUACGCCCUGAGGGGGAAAGGAGGGGAUCUUCGGACCUUUCGCUAUUAGAUGAGCCUGCGUGAGAUUAGCUAGUUGGUGAGGUAAAGGCUCACCAAGGCGACGAUCUCUAGCUGGUCUGAGAGGAUGAUCAGCCACACUGGGACUGAGACACGGCCCAGACUCCUACGGGAGGCAGCAGUGGGGAAUAUUGGACAAUGGGCGCAAGCCUGAUCCAGCCAUGCCGCGUGUGUGAAGAAGGCCUUAGGGUUGUAAAGCACUUUCAGGAGUGAGGAAGGGUGUACGGUUAAUACCCGUAUAUUUUGACGUUAGCUCCAGAAGAAGCACCGGCUAACUCUGUGCCAGCAGCCGCGGUAAUACAGAGGGUGCAAGCGUUAAUCGGAAUUACUGGGCGUAAAGCGCGC